GCUGGCGGCAGGCCUAACACAUGCAAGUCGAGCGGAAACGAUGGAAGCUUGCUUCCAGGCGUCGAGCGGCGGACGGGUGAGUAAUGCAUAGGAAUCUGCCCGGUAGUGGGGGAUAACUUGGGGAAACCCAAGCUAAUACCGCAUACGCCCUACGGGGGAAAGCAGGGGAUCUUCGGACCUUGCGCUAUCGGAUGAGCCUAUGUCGGAUUAGCUAGUUGGUGAGGUAAUGGCUCACCAAGGCCGCGAUCCGUAGCUGGUCUGAGAGGAUGAUCAGCCACAUCGGGACUGAGACACGGCCCGAACUCCUACGGGAGGCAGCAGUGGGGAAUAUUGGACAAUGGGCGAAAGCCUGAUCCAGCCAUGCCGCGUGUGUGAAGAAGGCCCUCGGGUUGUAAAGCACUUUCAGUGAGGAAGAACGCUUGUGGGUUAAUACCCUGCAAGGAAGACAUCACUCACAGAAGAAGCACCGGCUAACUCCGUGCCAGCAGCCGCGGUAAUACGGGAGGGUGCGAGCGUUAAUCGGAAUUACUGGGCGUAAAGCGCGCGUAGGCGGCUUGAUAAGCCGGUUGUGAAAGCCCCGGGCUCAACCUGGGAACGGCAUCCGGAACUGUCAGGCUAGAGUGCAGGANAGGAAGGUAGAAUUNCCCGGUGUAGCGGUGAAAUGCGUAGAGAUCGGGAGGAAUACCAGUGGGCGAAGGCGGGCCUUCUGGACUGACACUGACCCCUUAGGUGCNAAAGCGUGGGUAGCAAACAGGAUUAGAUACCCUGGUAGUCCA
rnacentral:rRNA from 1 species